rnacentral:rRNA from 1 species
GGGUUGUGAGGUUAAGCGACUAAGCGUACACGGUGGAUGCCCUGGCAGUCAGAGGCGAUGAAGGACGUGCUAAUCUGCGAUAAGCGUCGGUAAGGUGAUAUGAACCGUUAUAACCGGCGAUUUCCGAAUGGGGAAACCCAGUGUGUUUCGACACACUAUCAUUAACUGAAUCCAUAGGUUAAUGAGGCGAACCGGGGGAACUGAAACAUCUAAGUACCCCGAGGAAAAGAAAUCAACCGAGAUUCCCCCAGUAGCGGCGAGCGAACGGGGAGCAGCCCAGAGCCUGAAUCAGUGUGUGUGUUAGUGGAAGCGUCUGGAAAGGCGCGCGAUACAGGGUGACAGCCCCGUACACAAAAAUGCACAUACUGUGAGCUCGAUGAGUAGGGCGGGACACGUGGUAUCCUGUCUGAAUAUGGGGGGACCAUCCUCCAAGGCUAAAUACUCCUGACUGACCGAUAGUGAACCAGUACCGUGAGGGAAAGGCGAAAAGAACCCCGGCGAGGGGAGUGAAAAAGAACCUGAAACCGUGUACGUACAAGCAGUGGGAGCCUCUUAAUGGGGUGACUGCGUACCUUUUGUAUAAUGGGUCAGCGACUUAUAUUCUGUAGCAAGGUUAACCGAAUAGGGGAGCCGAAGGGAAACCGAGUCUUAACUGGGCGUUAAGUUGCAGGGUAUAGACCCGAAACCCGGUGAUCUAGCCAUGGGCAGGUUGAAGGUUGGGUAACACUAACUGGAGGACCGAACCGACUAAUGUUGAAAAAUUAGCGGAUGACUUGUGGCUGGGGGUGAAAGGCCAAUCAAACCGGGAGAUAGCUGGUUCUCCCCGAAAGCUAUUUAGGUAGCGCCUCGUGAAUUCAUCUCCGGGGGUAGAGCACUGUUUCGGCAAGGGGGUCAUCCCGACUUACCAACCCGAUGCAAACUGCGAAUACCGGAGAAUGUUAUCACGGGAGACACACGGCGGGUGCUAACGUCCGUCGUGAAGAGGGAAACAACCCAGACCGCCAGCUAAGGUCCCAAAGUCAUGGUUAAGUGGGAAACGAUGUGGGAAGGCCCAGACAGCCAGGAUGUUGGCUUAGAAGCAGCCAUCAUUUAAAGAAAGCGUAAUAGCUCACUGGUCGAGUCGGCCUGCGCGGAAGAUGUAACGGGGCUAAACCAUGCACCGAAGCUGCGGCAGCGACACUGUGUGUUGUUGGGUAGGGGAGCGUUCUGUAAGCCUGUGAAGGUGUGCUGUGAGGCAUGCUGGAGGUAUCAGAAGUGCGAAUGCUGACAUAAGUAACGAUAAAGCGGGUGAAAAGCCCGCUCGCCGGAAGACCAAGGGUUCCUGUCCAACGUUAAUCGGGGCAGGGUGAGUCGACCCCUAAGGCGAGGCCGAAAGGCGUAGUCGAUGGGAAACAGGUUAAUAUUCCUGUACUUGGUGUUACUGCGAAGGGGGACGGAGAAGGCUAUGUUGGCCGGGCGACGGUUGUCCCGGUUUAAGCGUGUAGGCUGGUUUUCCAGGCAAAUCCGGAAAAUCAAGGCUGAGGCGUGAUGACGAGGCACUACGGUGCUGAAGCAACAAAUGCCCUGCUUCCAGGAAAAGCCUCUAAGCAUCAGGUAACAUUAAAUCGUACCCCAAACCGACACAGGUGGUCAGGUAGAGAAUACCAAGGCGCUUGAGAGAACUCGGGUGAAGGAACUAGGCAAAAUGGUGCCGUAACUUCGGGAGAAGGCACGCUGAUAUGUAGGUGAAGUCCCUCGCGGAUGGAGCUGAAAUCAGUCGAAGAUACCAGCUGGCUGCAACUGUUUAUUAAAAACACAGCACUGUGCAAACACGAAAGUGGACGUAUACGGUGUGACGCCUGCCCGGUGCCGGAAGGUUAAUUGAUGGGGUUAGCGGUAACGCGAAGCUCUUGAUCGAAGCCCCGGUAAACGGCGGCCGUAACUAUAACGGUCCUAAGGUAGCGAAAUUCCUUGUCGGGUAAGUUCCGACCUGCACGAAUGGCGUAAUGAUGGCCAGGCUGUCUCCACCCGAGACUCAGUGAAAUUGAACUCGCUGUGAAGAUGCAGUGUACCCGCGGCAAGACGGAAAGACCCCGUGAACCUUUACUAUAGCUUGACACUGAACAUUGAGCCUUGAUGUGUAGGAUAGGUGGGAGGCUUUGAAGUGUGGACGCCAGUCUGCAUGGAGCCGGCCUUGAAAUACCACCCUUUAAUGUUUGAUGUUCUAACGUUGGCCCCUGAUCGGGGUUGCGGACAGUGUCUGGUGGGUAGUUUGACUGGGGCGGUCUCCUCCUAAAGAGUAACGGAGGAGCACGAAGGUUGGCUAAUCCUGGUCGGACAUCAGGAGGUUAGUGCAAUGGCAUAAGCCAGCUUGACUGCGAGCGUGACGGCGCGAGCAGGUGCGAAAGCAGGUCAUAGUGAUCCGGUGGUUCUGAAUGGAAGGGCCAUCGCUCAACGGAUAAAAGGUACUCCGGGGAUAACAGGCUGAUACCGCCCAAGAGUUCAUAUCGACGGCGGUGUUUGGCACCUCGAUGUCGGCUCAUCACAUCCUGGGGCUGAAGUAGGUCCCAAGGGUAUGGCUGUUCGCCAUUUAAAGUGGUACGCGAGCUGGGUUUAGAACGUCGUGAGACAGUUCGGUCCCUAUCUGCCGUGGGCGCUGGAGAACUGAGGGGGGCUGCUCCUAGUACGAGAGGACCGGAGUGGACGCAUCACUGGUGUUCGGGUUGUCAUGCCAAUGGCACUGCCCGGUAGCUAAAUGCGGAAGAGAUAAGUGCUGAAAGCAUCUAAGCACGAAACUUGCCCCGAGAUGAGUUCUCCCUGACUCCUUGAGAGUCCUGAAGGAACGUUGAAGACGACGACGUUGAUAGGCCGGGUGUGUAAGCGCAGCGAUGCGUUGAGCUAACCGGUACUAAUGAACCGUGAGGCUUAACCUUACAACGCCGAAG